GGAAAAAGACUUUUCUUUUUUUCUUUCUAGAGGAAUUCUGCCCAGACUCUCCAGCAGUUGGUAGCAGGCAAGCUUUCUCCUGUGUCGCCUGGAAAAGUUGCAAAAUUGCUCUUCACCUGUAAGAACAUGCAUUUUAUCUUCCAGUCUCUUCUUGUCAAUUUGGAAAUUGCAGACAGCCCGGCUCAGGAGAAAUGGCUUUGUGCAUUAAUUUCCCUGGCUGACACUGAGAAUAAGCAGCUCUGUCAGCCAUGGAAGUUGUUUGAAGGUGAUUAGGAGAGAUGUUUGUCUACAGAUUAGACAUUUAAAUUGUGUGUGUAUGUAUAUUAUACCAUCACCUCUAGACACUCAUAGAAGAGGGUUUCAGCUUACGCAGCCUUCUGCCUUACCAGGGCUUGCCUUUGCUCCUGAUACUGUGUCAGGAAGCAGAAGG
rnacentral:lncRNA from 1 species